UUAACUAAUUACAUAGAAUAGGUUGACGGAAUAAUACUCUCUGGAUAUGAAAUUAUUUCCAUGUGUGACUUUUUUAUGGAUAUCAGUGAUAGUUUACGUAGACUUUGGUCUGUGUCAAACUGUAGAUAACGUCAACAAAUUUAAAUCCAUAUCCGUUUCCGUAGACAUGAAUUCAGACGGUAUACAGGAAAAUGAACUCUUCAUUUUUAAAAGACCAACGAAACCAACAACAAGCAAACCGGUCCAACUUCCUUCAGGCACCACCACUACAGCAUCCCCUCCGAUGACCACCACCCUAGCGCAAUUAAAGAAAAAGGGAGCAGUGAGAAGAACGUUUAAAAUUAAGCAAACAUUUAUUAAAAGGUUUUAUCCCAAGAGGGUAUUUUCGCCAGACUACUUUAAAUUCAUCAGAAGAUUUCGCUGGGAAGAUUUCCAGAGGAGGAAGAAAAAUAAUCGGUGCCCAUGGUGCUAAAGAAGGGAUUUUUUCCUUGUUGUUUACUUUGUUGAAAGAAAAUGAAAAGUGUGACAGGAAUAAAUCAAAUGACUCAUAUAAUUGUGCCUAUUUUCUAACGUAAUGAGAGAAGAAAAAAAACACCAAGACAAAAUGAUACAAGUGUUUGAGUGAAUGAUUUUGUGAUCUUUUUAAAUCACGACACAUUUCAGAUCAUAUGCAUCCCAUCGUUUACAGGGGCAUGGUCACAAUUUUAGUCAAAAAAUUAUUAUUUCGAUUUUAAUGUUCACAAUGCUUCAGUAAGGCAAUUUUAAAAGGCACCGAAAAUUUGAGUGUCAUAUGUUGAGUUAUAAGCGAAUACUAGAGCGUACAAUUCUUUGCUAUGUAGAUAUAUCUUUUGUUUAUAUUUUGAAUGUUGAAUUGUAAAUUUCUGUUUUAUACCUAAAAUGAAUGUUUUAAAUGUUUGUAACUGUUUAUUUAUGCUGAAAAUGAAUAAGAAAUAGACAAAUCAGUUUGAAAAA
rnacentral:sRNA from 1 species